UGAAGCGGCAACAGCUCAAAUUUGAAAUGCUAGCCUUCUGGUUCGCAUUGUAAUUUGUAGAGGAUGAUUUGGGGAAGCCGCCUGUCUAAGUUCCUUGGAACAGGACGUCAUAGAGGGUGAGAAUCCCGUAUGUGACAGGAAAUGGCACCCUAUGUAAAUCUCCUUCUACGAGUCGAGUUGUUUGGGAAUGCAGCUCUAAAUGGGAGGUAAAUUUCUUCUAAAGCUAAAUAUUGGCGAGAGACCGAUAGCGCACAAGUAGAGUGAUCGAAAGAUGAAAAGCACUUUGGAAAGAGAGUUAAAAAGCACGUGAAAUUGUUGAAAGGGAAGCGCUUGCAAUCAGACUUGUUUAAACUGUUCGGCCGGUCUUCUGACCGGUUUACUCAGUUUGGACAGGCCAGCAUCAUUUUCUGCGGCCGGAUAAAGGCUCUGGGAAUGUGGCCUCCACUUCGGUGGAGGUGUUAUAGCCCAGGGUGUAAUACGGCCAGCCGGGACUGAGGUCCGCGCUUCGGCUAGGAUGCUGGCGUAAUGGUUGUAAGCGACCCGUC
rnacentral:rRNA from 1 species